UACAGAGGGUGCAAGCGUUAAUCGGAAUUACUGGGCGUAAAGCGCGCGUAGGUGGUUCGUUAAGUUGGAUGUGAAAGCCCCGGGCUCAACCUGGGAACUGCAUUCAAAACUGUCGAGCUAGAGUAUGGUAGAGGGUGGUGGAAUUUCCUGUGUAGCGGUGAAAUGCGUAGAUAUAGGAAGGAACACCAGUGGCGAAGGCGACCACCUGGACUGGUAUUGACGCUGAGGUGCGAAAGCGUGGGGAGCAAACAGG
rnacentral:rRNA from 1 species